GUGGGGAAUAUUGGACAAUGGGCGAAAGCCUGAUCCAGCCAUGCCGCGUGUGUGAAGAAGGUCUUCGGAUUGUAAAGCACUUUAAGUUGGGAGGAAGGGUAGUAACCUAAUACGUUGCUACUUUGACGUUACCGACAGAAUAAGCACCGGCUAACUUCGUGCCAGCAGCCGCGGUAAUACGAAGGGUGCAAGCGUUAAUCGGAAUUACUGGGCGUAAAGCGCGCGUAGGUGGUUCAGUAAGUUGGAAGUGAAAUCCCCGGGCUCAACCUGGGAACUGCCUCCAAAACUGCAUGACUAGAGUACUGUAGAGGGUAGUGGAAUUUCCUGUGUAGCGGUGAAAUGCGUAGAUAUAGGAAGGAACACCAGUGGCGAAGGCGACUACCUGGACUGAUACUGACACUGAGGUGCGAAAGCGUGGGGAGCAAACAGGAUUAGAUACCCCUGUAGUCC
rnacentral:rRNA from 1 species